GGUGGCUCAGUGGUAGAGCACUUGCCUUACAAGCUUGAGGCCCUGGGUUCGAUUCCCCAGUACCA
rnacentral:tRNA from 1 species